AAUGAACGCUGGCGGCAGGCCUAAAACAUGCAAGUCGAGCGCCCUAGCAAUAGGGAGCGGCGCACGGGUGAGUAACACGUGGGAAUAUGCCUUUUGGUACGGAACAACCUCGGGAAACUGAGGCUAAUACCGUAUGGUCCCUUCGGGGUAAAGAUUUAUCGCCAAAAGAGUAGCCCGCGUUGGAUUAGCUAGUUGGUAAGGUAACGGCUUACCAAGGCGACGAUCCAUAGCUGGUCUGAGAGGACGAUCAGCCACACUGGGACUGAGACACGGCCCAGACUCCUACGGGGAGGCAGCAGUUAGGAAUAUUGGACAAUGGGCGCAAGCCUGAUCCAGCCAUGCCGCGUGAGUGAUGAAGGCC
rnacentral:rRNA from 1 species